UCAUAGGUAUACCCAUCAGCUGCGACACAAGGAUCCUCCAUUACACCCUGCAAUAAGAAGGCAACAUCUGUCAUUCAUCAAGAAAAGAUUGAUCUAAAGAGAGAAUAGAACUAUAGAAGUGUUGUAUCAAGAAUGGAUACGCUAUCAGAGUUUCGUCUGCAAACUACAAGACAGAAAGGGAAGCGUUACCUUGAGAAUGGGGCACAUGAAGUAGUUAGGUGGAGGAGGCGGGGCGAUUGAUGCCAAGUCCUUAGCUUGAUUUGCUACAUCUUUCAGUUUCUCGAGAAUUGGGAGUAUAUGAUCCUUAAGGUCAGGUCUAUCCUUUCGCUUAAGCUCUGUGCAUUUUAGAGCUAGUUUUGUCAAUUUCUUUGUCUCUUCUAGUGGCCAUUUACCAGCCUCGGUGUCAAGUAUCUCCUCGAGGGUAUCAAUGUCAAUAGCAGUCUCGACGAUGUGUGUUAGUCCGAUGGCCUGUUUUGCUGUCAACAGCUGCAGAAUAACCAUUCCGAGUGCAUAAACAUCGGACUUUGGAGAGAUCAAGCCUGUCCUUGUAUACUCGGGAUCUAUAUAGCAGACCGUUCCAACAGGGCCCGUGUCCUUGUGUAAUGUGGACAUUGAAGAGCCUGAAUGAAUCACGGUUGACAGCCCAACAUCGCCAAUUUUGCUCACGAGAUUACGGUCAAGCAAUAUGUUCCCUGGCUUGAGAUCACGAUGGACAAUCGUUUCUGGUUUUGAGUUGUGAAGAAAGACGAGGGCAGAUGCCACUUCCCAGGCUAUUCGAUAUCUGUCAAACCAUGGAAUCGGAGGAGUGUUGUUUUUCCUGAACAAUCUGUCGUCCAAGCUCCCGUUCUCCAUGAACUCGUAUACUAGACAACCGUGAUCAGAGCAUGCACCGAGAAGAAUUAGCAAAUGUGGAUGGCGAAUUCUGCUCAAUACUUCAAGCUGAAAACCGAAAAAAAAAAGUGCAGUUUUAAGUACUUUGAAGUUUGAACUCACAAGAGGGUAAAAACUAAAAAAACCAUUGGUCUAAUGCCAUAGUUUGAUGAAUUUAGAUUCUCAUUCAUAAUUCAUAAAGUUGCCUUACCUCUUGCUGAAAUUGCUUGGUUCUCUGAGCUUCCAUGGAGCGGAGAACUUUCACUGCAACAGUCGUAUGAUGCAGAUUGCAUUUAUAAACCGUUCCAUAUGCUCCCAUCCCGAUUUUAAGAUCCUCGGAGAAAGAAGAUGUUGCAGACUCGAUUUCUUCCCACGUAAACUCCUGGUAAUGAUGAACUCUCCCCAUAAACGCGUUCUCAAGCUUCUCUUUUUCUUUGGCUUCGCGAACCGCAUUCAUCUCUGCUUCUUUUCUCACAGAAGCCUCUCUUUCAGCACAGUUCUUCACAUAAUCAGCUUCUGUCCUAGCAGCCUCAUAUUUCUCCCUCUCUUUUUCUGCCAUGGCUCUUGCUUCCUCCUCCUUAGAGAGGAUCCCCUUGAGCCUAAUCUCUUCCUCUAAUUGCUGUUUUCGAAGAUCGCUUAUCUGAUUAAAGUUCAAAAUACAAGCAAUUGAGAAUGCUUUACACAGCAUCACAGAAAAACGAACAAGAAUCAGUAGUUAAUCAGGAUGUGUCUAAAAAUACCUUCCUCGAAGCAUCAACUGCUUCUGUUUGUGCCAUUGCAUACAUUCCUCGAAUAUGUCUGAGCUCAAUUCUUAACUUUUCUAGCUCGAAAUUUAUGUUCACCUGCAUAUAAAAGUGUUAAAAUCACACAACAAUCUUCACUGCCAGGGAAGCAGAAGUAGUAGAUUACCUGCUCUCCAGAUGAAAAAUCCCGAGGCACAUCUGAAGUGGAAGCUUGGUCAUUUGUCCACGAAGAAUCGUCUGUCACGAUGCUCGAGGUAGACACGUGCUUAGUUUCAUUGAUAAUAUCUUUGGAGCUUUCAUUGUUCUUUCGUUUUUCAGGUUCCACGUAAAAUUCUGUGGAGGCUAAAGAGGCAACUGUUUCAACCGAACCUGAUCUUUUAUGCAGAAGAGUCUGAUUAAUAUUCGAAAGAGCUUGAAACCGUUGCAGUGGGAGCGAAGAAGAGCAGAACUGUGAGUAUGAAGCAGUUGAAUCUGACCGCUCUGAAGAAGAAUACGCGAAGAAACAUAGAAAACAUCAUAUGACAGCAACAACAUAGUACUAAAUUGCAGAGAAAAGAAAGAAUCAGAUGUCUACAGUCAAAGGAUGAAACCUAAAUCUGAACAUAGUACUAAGUUACAGUGGUUCAGCAAAUGAAAACAUUGGUUAGAACAAUUAAGGAACUCAUACCAGUUAGCGAUCUGGAACCAUGGCCCGAGGAAAUACUAGUUGAGCAGCUCGUUUCACUAUCUUCAACUGUGGCGACGCUGCCAGUCCUAUCAGAGCUAGACGGGCGAAUAGAAGACAGUUUCCCUUUAGAAAUGGCGUAAACUGUGCAGAAGCUCGGCACGCCUUCUGAGAUUCGAGCAGACAAGGUCUGUCGCCUCGAGAACAUGCGACGAGAGGAUGCACCUAUCACAACCUUGUCGAUGUUGCAGUUCACAACCUCGUUUGCUAUUGCGUUUACAAUGUUGUCUGAUUCAAUCUGUUGAACCUCAACCUCAACCUGCCACAGGAAUCUGUACUUUAGUAUCUACAAGGAAUCUAUCUCUCCAGUUCCAAAGCUAA